UUUUAUUUUAUUUCAUUAAUAUUCUAGGAAGGGCAUUCUGGUGACAUACUGCUUAUGUAUGAAACUUCCUUCAGCCUUCACAGGAGUCUUCUAUCAUGAGAUGCUCUGGAAGACCUAAGAGACUGGGUAGAUUAUCUUUAUUACUUCAGUUGAAAUUGAAUGUGCGGUUACAGACAAUACAGUUGAUGACAGAGGUCCUUGUUUUGAAAGGAAGAAAAUCUCUGAAGAAGCUGAAGUGAGGGAGGAUGAACGAUUUUCUGAACUUCUGCAUAUUCAGUUACUGGUAUGUAAUUCUUCUGAGAAUUUCUUGGAUAUAUACCUACUUGUGGAUCUUUAACUCCAGAUGCUAAUUGA
rnacentral:lncRNA from 1 species